GACCGAAUUAAGUAAGAGAGGGGAAUAAAAACAUAUCAAAAUGAAACAAGAUAUCAGUAUAUUUCCAGCAAUGAACUUUGCGUCACAACAACUGCUUCUACUCCUGUCGUUUUUCUUUCUUUUUUCCAUAGCCAGCAGUCCAACUGGAGUUGAAGCUUAAAUAGGAGAGGAGCGUCACAUCUUCGUUGCACAAUGGCGAGAAAGGAG
rnacentral:ribozyme from 1 species